AUUGGAGCCACCUAUCAUCGCGGUUGCAACGGCGUCUUCCCCACUUCUGCUCUGCUCUCGUCCCCAACGGCGAUUGUUCAGGAGGAGGGCGGGAGACACCAUUGCCGACCUGCUGGCUGCUGCUUCCUCUUCCAUAUUACGGCAGAUGAUAGAAAUGGCGAAACACCUUAGGGAAAACGAAACCACUGUGAGUGUAAACAAGCUUCACAGGAAACGACACAAGGAGAGGCAGCCGCUCCCCUGGGUGUGGCAAAAUGUGAGGACUGGAGAAGACCAUGCCAUCCUGCUGACAAAGAACAACCAAUCACAGCUUGCUAAAAGUAUCUGCAGGUCACACAUAGCCAAUCAAUAGCCGCUAGGAACACGUAUUUGCAGAUUGUAUAACUUUGUCUCGGGCAACUUGGUUAGAGAGCGCUUCGUCUGGAGGAAACGGAGGAGUGCUAGCUUUGUAUUGAGAGGGAGCCAAGACCCGAGUGUUGUUUUAGAUUUUGACUGUCAGGAUUAAAUCCACUCGUGUGUGCAAAUGCCGGCUUCUCGACGCCUUUCUUUUCAGAACGAAUACGCGUAAUUGUUGGAAGAGUGUUCGGUGAGAAGGUCAAACUUCUAUAACACUAAAACGGAGUCAGGUAAUUAAUUUGCGUAAUUCUAAUUAGGUAAAUA